AGUGACAGAAACGCAGCACGAUGUGGACCUUCAGCUUGCUCCUCUUCUGGGGGUGUUGUGGUAUAUGUAGCUGCGAAACAGUCACAUUAACCCCACCGGAAUCAGUGGCAUGGCGUCGGCUGCUGAAUCUGACAGGGACGGCUUUUGGUAAGAAACUCCCCCAGAUUGAAGGCAAUCAGGCCUUGGGCAAG